UACGGAGGGUGCGAGCGUUGUCCGGAAUCAUUGGGCGUAAAGGGCGCGUAGGCGGCCUGAUAAGUAGGGGGUGAAAUCCUGCGGCUUAACCGCAGGGCUGCCUUCUAAACUGUCAGGCUGGAGCACAGUAGAGGCAGGUGGAAUUCCCGGUGUAGCGGUGGAAUGCGUAGAGAUCGGGAAGAACAUCAGUGGCGAAGGCGGCCUGCUGGGCUGUUGCUGACGCUGAGGCGCGACAGCGUGGGGGAGCAAACAGG
rnacentral:rRNA from 1 species